UACAGAGGGUGCAAGCGUUGUUCGGAAUUACUGGGCGUAAAGCGCGUGUAGGCGGUUUUUCAAGUCCUGUGUGAAAGCCCUGGGCUCAACCCAGGAAGUGCGCAGGAUACUGGAUGACUGGAGUGGCGGAGAGGAUGGCGGAAUUCCCGGUGUAGAGGUGAAAUUCGUAGAUAUCGGGAGGAACACCUGUGGCGAAGGCGGCCAUCUGGACGUCAACUGACGCUGAGACGCGAAAGCGUGGGUAGCAAACAGG
rnacentral:rRNA from 1 species